GCAGGGGGGGGGGGGAGGGAGGGGUUAGAGGAAGGAAGGAAGAAGAGGCGAGAGGAAGAUCUUAACCUUCCUUAUUAUUAACCUUAACUUCUUCUUCUUCUUCUUCUUCUUCUUCUUCUUCUUCUUCUUCUUCUUCUUCUUCUUCUUCUUCUUC